rnacentral:rRNA from 1 species
CCCCUAGACGUUCUGGGCUGCACGCGCGCUACAAUAAUACGCACAGCGAGUAUCACCGAGCUCGAAAGGGCAAGGUAAACAAUAGAAAAGGUACUGUAAUGGUUAUAGAUCCUUGUAAUUAUUGAUCUUCAACGAGGAAUUCCUAGUAAGUAUGUGUCAUCAUCACGCACUGAUUACGUCCCUGCCCUUUGUACACACCGCCCGUCGCUCCUACCGAUUGAAUGUGUUGGUGAGGAGCUCGGAUUGGCAGCAGUUGGUGGUUCGCCACCGGCUAUUGCUGAGAAGUCCUCCAAACCGCCCCAUUUAGAGGAAGGAGAAGUCGUAACA